AUGAGAAGUGCAAAUGCCACUUUACAUGACUCAUUUGUGGAUCGAAUGAAAAAUUCAUUGGCGACAUGCUUUCAUAGUAUGUGGGACAUGAUAAAAGGGUCCCUAUUUUGCUAGAAUUUAGAAUGUAACUUUUGCAUUGUUGUAUUUAAAGAGAGCUUGGAUGUGAGGGACAAACAUCCAUGAAGAAAUUGUUGGGAGCGCACAGUAAAAGUCCAAUAUAUUUACCUCGGGAGAUCGCUAAGAGGGAGCCUAAGUUUGAGCCUGUUAAUAUAUUUGGUUGAACUCAUAUUUAUUUAAAAGUUUAAGCUAAUAAGUUAAAGGCCAACUAGAAUAUAUUAAUUGCUCAACACUUAUCAAUUCUGCAAUGUAGAAUUUCUCUAAUACAACUCACUCACAUAUGCAUCUUAACAAUCUCUUUCUCACGUGUGAGCUUAGUGUUAGGUCUACCCCCCUUAAUUCAAGUAUCUUUUUGACCCAACUUCAUCCUCAUGGGCUUGCGUUACUACACACAACGUCCACCUGCCUAGAAGGCGCAAUUAUCGGCUUUGAUAUCAUUUAUUAGGAGCGUGCAACACCUGAGGAGAUCGCCAAGAGAGAUUUUAAGUUCAAGCGCAUUUUUUUUUGGCGAAAUAAACGACUACUAUUAAGUUACUUGGCCAAGUUUGGGGUAAAUACAUCAAAAGCAUCAACGCAUAAUAGAUCAAAUAGAGCAGGCGAAGGGCUAGAUAACCAAUUCGAUGAAAGAGAGCUAUAUCUUCGGGCUUUCGCAAGCCAAUCGGCUGGUUUAUUCGCAUCUCUGCUGCAAUGGGCUGGAGAAAGGCCCGGAAAUUCCUUCAUUUUUGCCCUGGCCCGGUCCACAACAGUCUUCACUUCCCAACAUAUCUCCUUCGAACUGUUGAUGGCUUGCACAUGUGGAAGAUAGUCGGAUUGUACUUGCAGAGUUAGAUUAGUUCAGUUCGAAAGAAAAUCUAGGGUUUCAAGGAAGGCCAGAGCUUCUGCCUGUUGUGUCGAUGAAGCCGCUACCAUUUUGACGAAGCUGUCGAUGAGACGACCCCUAAAGUCUAGGAAAAUAUAGGCUAUAGCUCCCCUGUUUUCAUCCGCUCCCCUGCACUCUCCGAAUUUUGGAUCAGUUGCUUCGUUUGGGGGAAAUGAUGCAUGAGUUUGUUCUUCAGCGCAUUUGGAGUUGACGGUUUCCAUUUUUGAGGGGGCGAUGGCUGAAAAUCCACUGAUUCCGGUCCUUCCAGAUGCUCCAGAGGGUUGCUGCUGUUAGGUUAAACUUGAUGGUCUUUCUUUGGUUGGAUUUUGCCAUGUAUAGCCAAUCAUCUAGCUGAGUUAACCCUAUUCGUGAAAUUUUUAUUUGCAAGGGAGCUGUUUUCCAUAUUCGAUCUGUCCAAGAGCAGAGCAAGAGAGUGUGUUCGAUGGUUUCAACUUCCUGUUUGCAAAUAGGGCAUAACGGGUUAGGUGAAUGCACACCCUUUACAUUCCAAGUCCAUUAAGGAGCAUUGGUGUAGGAAGUCUCUGAAAGCUGAGAGUCGGUUGGGUAGAACCAGGAAAAACAAGCUAUGCCUUACAGUUGAAGGGAGCGCUGAAUCAGUGGUUGGGUGAAUCACGAUUGGGUAUACAGAAGGAUUUAGGGUUUCUUAUCAGCAUUUACAUCAGAAUAAUCGAGCAUGUGGUGAAAGAAAUGGUGGUAGAACAGAUCCUCCGCAUUAAAAUCAGAAGCUACGUGGCUGGGAUGAUCUGAUCGAAAUGUGGGGUGAAGGAAUCGGUGUAUUAGGGUUAGCCAUUUAUGAUGGAAUGGGGCAUCUGCAUUGAUGAGGCUGGGGUGAAGUGAAAGAAACUUGUGGAAAAGAAAUGGUGGAUUAGGGUUAAAUAUUGAUGAUGAAUCGAAGCUUACCCUGAAGGUAGAGGAUCACUAUGCAGAUAGUAGAGGGGAAUCUCCAUAGUCGGAGAGAGAGCUAUUCUGCGUCCACCAUUAAGUCCAAGCCCAUUAAUAUAUCCAAUUAGAUCAUCUUUUACCAAAAAACUUAAACUAAUGAGUUAUAGGCCAAUUAACAUAUAUUUAUUACACCGCACCAUACCAAUUCUCCAAUGUGGGAUUUCACUAACACAUUUUACUUGCACGUGCAUCCUAACAGAAAUGUCCUUAUCUACAUUGUUUC